GGUUGCGCGCGGCGAGCGGCGAUCCCGGGGCGCCUGCGCGGGUGGCUUUGCGGGCGCUCGCGGUAAGUUUGCGCCAAGUGCGCGGCAGCCGGGACGCAGACGGCGGCGGCGGCGAGAGGCGGAGCCCGGGGACCACCCCCCAUCACCCUCCCCGCAGUCACCUCACGUACCACAACCUCACCUAACCUCUCACCCCCACUGCGAUCCCCCCAACCCCGGGAUGGCAGCGCCCGCCAGCUUUCCCGGCCGGACCAGCGGUCGCCAGCACCGGCUUUAGCCUGUGGGACUAGGCCCCGCCGAGGCCUGACUCCCGGAGCCGGGACCCACCGUGCAGCCAGACGCCGGGCCGGGGCUGAGGGGCCGCUCCCCCCUCACGGCCCGUGGGGAGGACGCUGCCGUCCCGGGGACUGGGGGCCGGGGGGUGGGGGGGGUGCCAGGGCGAGGAAGUCGGGACCCGUGUUUGGAAAAAAGAAGGGGGGCCGGGGGCAGGAGCACCCCCUCCCCCCCGUUUCCCCCCUCCCCCCGGGGUUGGGGGGGGCCGGAGCAGAGAGCGCCCAGCCCGGGAGGUGGAUGAAUGUGGGAGAAAAUGGAGACCAAGACGAUCGUGUACGACUUGGACACGUCGGGGGGGCUGAUGGAGCAAAUCCAAGCUCUGCUGGCUCCCCCCAAGACGGACGAGGCAGAAAAGCGGAGUCGGAAGCCUGAGAAGGAGCCCCGGCGAAGCGGCAGGGCCACCAACCACGACAGCUGCGAUAGCUGCAAAGAAGGUGGGGAUCUCCUGUGCUGUGACCACUGCCCGGCCGCCUUCCAUCUCCAGUGCUGUAACCCUCCACUGAGUGAAGAGAUGUUGCCUCCUGGGGAGUGGAUGUGUCACCGGUGCACUGUUCGCCGAAAGAAACGAGAGCAGAAAAAGGAGCUGGGCCACGUCAAUGGACUGGUGGACAAAUCUGGCAAACGGACUACAUCCCCCAGCAGCGACACUGACUUGUUGGACAGAUCAGCUAGCAAAACUGAACUCAAGGCCAUUGCCCAUGCCCGGAUCCUGGAAAGGAGAGCCAGCCGUCCUGGUACGCCCACAUCCAAUGCCAGCACAGAGACCCCCACCUCUGAGCAGAAUGAUGUCGACGAGGACAUCAUCGACGUGGACGAGGAGCCAGUGGCAGCAGAGCCGGACUACGUGCAGCCCCAGCUAAGGCGCCCCUUUGAGCUGCUGAUUGCUGCCGCCAUGGAGCGGAACCCCACCCAAUUUCAGUUGCCCAAUGAACUGACUUGUACCACUGCACUACCAGGUUCUAGCAAGAGGAGAAGAAAGGAGGAAACCACAGGGAAAAACGUUAAGAAGACACAGCAUGAGUUAGAUCACAAUGGUCUUGUUCCCUUACCAGUCAAAGUCUGUUUCACGUGUAACAGGAGUUGUCGCGUGGCCCCUCUUAUCCAGUGUGACUAUUGCCCCCUCCUGUUCCACAUGGACUGCCUCGAGCCACCGCUCACUGCCAUGCCCCUGGGCAGAUGGAUGUGUCCGAAUCACAUCGAACAUGUGGUGCUGAACCAGAAGAACAUGACGCUGAGCAAUCGGUGCCAGGUGUUUGACCGUUUCCAGGACACCAUUUCGCAGCACGUUGUCAAAGUGGACUUCCUGAACCGAAUCCACAAGAAGCACCCUCCUAACCGCCGCGUGCUCCAGUCGGUCAAAAGAAGAAGCUUGAAGGUUCCCGAUGCUAUCAAAUCUCAGUACCAGUUUCCACCCCCUCUCAUUGCACCCGCGGCCAUUCGGGAUGGGGAGCUGAUCUGCAAUGGGAUCCCUGAGGAAUCACAGACGCACCUUUUGAACUCUGAGCACUUAGCCACCCAGGCAGAGCAGCAAGAGUGGCUCUGUAGUGUUGUUGCGCUCCAGUGCAGCAUAUUGAAACAUUUAUCUGCUAAGCAGAUGCCUUCGCAUUGGGACUCUGAGCAGACAGAGAAGGCUGAUAUUAAGCCUGUUAUCGUGACUGACAGCUCAAUCACCAACUCCCCGCCAACAGCUGACAAGGCACCUACACCUUCCCGCUACCCCUUGUCCUGCCCCCCAGGGCUUAGCACCCAGAAUUCCCUGAGCUGCUCUCCACCCCACCAGCCCCCAACCCUAGAGGACAUCAGCUGCAGUUCUUGUGCGGAAAAAUCCAAGAAAGCCCGCUGUGGGACUGCCAACGGGCCAGUGAACACAGAGGUGAAAGCCAAUGGCCCACACCUCUACAGCAGCCCCACUGAUUCCACGGACCCCCGGCGACUUCCAGGCGCCAACACCCCCCUACCAGGCCUCUCACACCGGCAAGGCUGGCCUCGGCCCCUCACGCCACCAGCGGCUGGGGGGCUUCAGAACCACACCGUCGGCAUCAUUGUGAAGACAGAGAAUGCCACUGGCCCCAGCUCUUGCCCCCAGAGGAGUUUGGUUCCUGUCCCAAGCCUACCCCCUUCCGUUCCCAGCUCUUGUGCCAGCAUCGAGAACACCAGCACUUUGCAAAGAAAGACUGUCCAAUCACAGAUAGGACCUCCGCUGGCAGAGUCAAGGCCCCUGGGCUCAGCCCCAAGUGCCACCCGGGUGCUCACUCCCCCCCAAGCAGCAGGAGAUGGUAUCUUGGCCACAGGAGCCAACCAACGAUUCUGCUCACCAGCGCCAUCGUCAGCUCUAGGAGUUCCAGAGCCUAUGGGAUGGCAAGGUCAGCCCCGGCACGUUAUCCAUAGGAAGCGCUUUAACCGUACCCUCUUUCCCAGCCAACUCUACUGCCAUGGUGGACCUCACCAACUCACUUCGAGCAUUUAUGGAUGUCAAUGGAGAAAUCGAGAUAAAUAUGCUGGACGAGAAGCUGGUCAAGUUUCUGGCCUUGCAGAGAAUACAUCAGCUUUUCCCCUCCCGGGUCCAAGCUUCACCGGGCAGUGUCGGGGCACAUCCGCUGGCUUCUGGAGGGCACCACACAGAAGUGCCGAGAAGGGAAGUACAGGCCCGAGCUGUGUUCUACCCUCUCUUAGGGUUGGGAGGAGCUGUGAACAUGUGCUAUCGAACCCUCUACAUCGGGACAGGAGCUGACAUGGACGUGUGCCUUACAAACUAUGGUCACUGUAACUACGUGUCUGGGAAACACGCCUGCAUCUUCUACGAUGAGAAUACCAAACAUUAUGAGCUGUUAAACUACAGUGAGCACGGGACUACGGUGGACAACGUGCUGUAUUCAUGUGACUUCUCUGAGAAGACCCCGCCAACCCCCCCAAGCAGUAUUGUUGCCAAAGUGCAGAGUGUCAUCAGGCGCCGCCGGCACCAGAAACAGGAUGAAGAGCCAAGUGAGGAGGCAGCCAUGAUGAGCUCCCAGGCCCAGGGGCCGCAGCGGAGACCCUGCAACUGCAAAGCCAGCAGCUCGAGCUUGAUUGGGGGCAGUGGGGCCGGCUGGGAGGGCACGGCCUUACUGCACCACGGCAGCUACAUCAAGCUGGGGUGCCUGCAGUUUGUCUUCAGCAUCACUGAGUUUGCGACCAAACAGCCCAAAGGCGAUGCCGGCCUGCUACAGGAUGGGGUCUUGGCCGAGAAGCUCUCUCUCAAGCCCCACCAGGGCCCUGUGCUGCGCUCCAACUCCGUUCCCUAGGACUGGCGGCCACCCGUCACCCGCCCUUCCACCCAACCCAAGACUCCUGCAAUGCAAAAAUGUACACAAACCAAGCCCGGGUUUUUUCUAUACUCCACCAGAAACCCUUCAACUACAAUCUUUGCAUGAAAUGAAGAAAACCUUUUGACUUUUUUAAAAAUCCUUUUUCUUUUCUCAAGUUCUAGGGGGCAUUUGCACAUAUAUUUGUACUCAACAUUUCAUGGGAAAGCGGCAGACCGAGCUGAGGAACAGCGUGGGCAGGGAGGGGAAGGCCAGUGGUCUGGACACCUCCUCCGACACAAAACCGUUCCCCACCCACCUCCUGCUCCCUCCCCCUCGCCCGCCGUUGUAAAAUAAUCAGAAACUUGUUCUAUUUUGUGGCAGUGACAAUAGUUUUAUAUUAAAAGAAAAAAAUACAGUUUUCAUACAGCAAAAUCUAUACAAUAUCAUUGUUUUAUUUAAUAUAAAGAUCGCUACCCACCCUCCUUCCAUGGUUCCCACCCUCCAGGUUAUUUUCCCUUUCUGCAGCGGUUGCACUACAGGUAGCUACUGUGUAUUAUGGACAAAUGAGAAAUGAAUUCUUUUUCUGGCUGUCCAUCUAUUUUAUUUCAAAUAAGGAAAAGUGUAUUUGGAUUUUGUGUAAAUACAUCUAGUGAUGACAUUUUUUCAAUGUUUUUUAAAACUGUACAGUACUACAUGUGGUAGAGCGUUUUCUUCAAAUUGUCUAUUGUAGCAAAAGCGUUUUUGUCGUAAACCUGUUCUGUCUCCUUUUUUUGUUCUCCUGCCACUUCUCUCCUCUUCCUUCCACCCCGACAACUAGUACCGAUGUACAUAGUAAUUGUAAUGUUUUAGACUUUACAGAAACUUUCCUGUAUUCUGUAUAUAAAAAAACAAAAAUACUUCAAA